UACGUAGGGGGCUAGCGUUGUCCGGAUUCACUGGGUUUAAAGGGUGCGUAGGAGGGCAGGUAAGUCAGUGGUGAAAUCUUCGAGCUUAACUCGGAAACUGCCGUUGAUACUAUCUGUCUUGAAUACCGUGGAGAUGAGCGGAAUAUGUCAUGUAGCGGUGAAAUGCUUAGAUAUGACAUAGAACACCAAUUGCGAAGGCAGCUCGUUACACGAAUAUUGACUCUGAGGCACGAAAGCGUGGGGAUCAAACAGG
rnacentral:rRNA from 1 species